CCCCCAAACAGCAGCAAACUACAAAACAAGAAGUAGGUUUAAAAGAUUGCAAUGUAUCAAAUCACGUCAGUUAAAUUGAAUAACGUGUUUCGUGCAUGUAGAUAAAUUGUUAUAGUGGUUUAAUUGUGCAGGACUACAGGAAGAGAGCUAUUAAAGUGAAAAACAUUGCCAAAGCGUGAGCUGUAAAGGAUAUUCUGUCAGUUUUAUAUAAAUCUGCAACUGUCUAGUGGUGGAGAAGAAAUGGACGAUAGGAGUGAAGUCUCUAAGCGAAAGAGUGCAAGACAACGGCAGUUAGCUAAGGUAAUGAUUUCAUUUAUUCUUUGUAUUCCAC